AUUAUACAAAAAUAUCACAUUCAGGACAUAAUAAUGAAUGUUCUCCUUUCCUUGCAUGGAGGAAAUGACAAUUUCAAGACAUUCACAGCCAACAUAAAAAUGCCUACAGAAAACCAUUCGAGCACUGUUGAUAUUGAACUCUACUAGGAAUGAAGCCUCUCUACAUGUGUGGAUCUGGUUAUUGUCCUCAUUGUCCCUCCCCCCAAAAAAGCCCCCAAAGUGUUUAUUAAUAAAA